AUGUGUGUGAUCGGGCUCGUCGGGAUACGUCGGGUGCGCGCGGGACGUUCAGGAUACACUGGUGCGGUUGGGCUCGUCGGACGCGUCGGGUACGCGCGGGAAGUGCGUGGACGCAGCAGAAGCCGUGGCAAAGUGUACUUGUAUGUGUGUAGCGCGUGUGUGCGUGCGUGGCGUGUGUGUGGCGUAGUCACAAAGAUAGAUAGGCUGGGUCGUGGCGAUCUGUUGGAGCAGUCGCGUAGUGCGCGUCGUGAGCAAGCGCGUGCAUGCAGAUCGUGCAUGUGGCUGAGUAGGAGUGGGCAGCGCCCGUGCGUGACUGCGCCUGGGAAGUUGGAGCAGUCGCGCAGUGCGCGUCGUGAGCAAGCGCGUGCAUGCAGAUCGUGCAUGCGGCCGAGUAGGAGUGGGCAGCGCCCGUGCGUGACUGCGCCUGGGAUUUAA
rnacentral:rRNA from 1 species